rnacentral:sRNA from 1 species
CUUAGUGGUUGCAGUUGGCGCUGUCUCCGCUUUCCUGUUGCGUGGCGGGCGUCUUGGCCAAAACACUCUCCCUGCCACCUUAUUCCUCUAGGGUUGUGAUUUUUUUCUUUCACCAAGAAAUAUCACUCGCUGGUAAUUUGUCAAACUGAAGAAACCCCUGAAGAAGUAGUGGUGGGCAGGCGCCGACGCUGCGGCUUCCAGAGCAUUUUGGCAAAUCAAAGCCAGGGACCGUUGCUGGGCGACAUUUCCGCAACUUUUCGGCUCCGAACUGCUGAGCAACUACAGCGAGCCCUAGAUUUUCGAAACUCUUCAGCUACUUGCCCUUUUUUAUCUGAAACCAUCAUACCUUCUGAAAGAAAAAAGCAUAUCUUCAUUGACAUAACAGAAGUGAGAUGGCCCAGUCUUGAUACAGAUGGUACCAUGAUAUAUAUGGAGAGUGGCAUUGUGAAGAUAACAUCUUUAGAUGGUCAUGCAUACCUCUGCCUGCCCAGAUCUCAGCAUGAAUUUACAGUACAUUUUUUGUGUAAAGUUAGCCAGAAGUCAGACUCAUCUGCAGUGUCGUCAGAAACAAAUAAUAAAGCCUCAAAAGAUAAACUAGUUGAAAAAACUGGCAAAAUCUGUAUACGUGGAAAUUUACCAGGACAGAGACUGAAGAAUAAAGAAAAUGAGUUUCAUUGCCAGAUCAUGAAAUCCAAAGAAACUUUAAAGAAGAUGAGUUGUGUAAAUGGAACUGAAGGGAGGGAAGAGCUGCCUUCGCCUGGUACAAAGCACACAUGUGUAUACACAUGGGUCAAGCAGUGCUGGUCUGUGGCCGCCUGUCCAGAGGAAUGGAAAUAUCCUUUGUCUUUAGCACUUCAUUUUCAUAAUAAAAUCAGCAAUAUGUCUAAAAUUGAUGCACAUAUAACUCAGAGUAGAUUUUUAACUUCUGAUAUUUCAGAGGAAAGAGGAAAAGUGGUUUCUGUUCUUCCCAGGGCCCUGUCACUCAGCUGUCCAGUCCCACACCUACACAGGUAAUGCAGUAAUGGCUAUUGGUCAUGAAGCUUUUAUCAGAACCAGUCUUAACCUGGAUAAUUUUCUUUUUAUCUGAUACCAUUCACAAGGAAAGUUUAUCUCAUCCAAAAUUUUGCUUUUAACUGAUAGUAAAUAAUUUCCCUAGCAAAUGUGUUGCUUAUGUUUUUUACUCUGUGUCCAUGCAUUGAAUGUACAA